rnacentral:lncRNA from 1 species
GGCGAGAGCAUUCCCAGGAUGGGUGACCCACUAGGAAGUUCUCGUGUGAGUUCCCAGAAACAAAACUGUGAGGGCGUGGCAGGGGCCCCAAGCGGACAAUAUCGUAUUACGGUGAAGCCGGGAUUGGGAUGUGACACUUUUAGCGAGGCAGUGGGUGAUUAGAACUCUUCAAAUCGAUCGUGAAUUGAAACAUACUUUCAAUUCUCCCUUUAGUGAUUAUACACCUUUAGGGCUUCCACAAACCAUGAGUGACACCUAGCAGUAUAUCAUGGCUACCCAAGCUAAUUAGAAGAGGUGGAGAACCUAUUCAGUUUAGAAUUACAAUGCAAUACGGUCUUUCUCUAAUACAAUACUCUUGACCACAUUGUUUGGUUUGAUAGUUUAUUCAUGUUUACUAUCCAGUGUGAUUCUCUUACUUAUAUGAUUACCUUGAAUGUGAUUUGGAAUGACUUCCUAAAUCUCAUUCAUACUCUGGACAGAGAUUCGUAAUCAUAUCAUAGAGUAUUCUCCCUUAAACGGUUUGAAGGCUAGAGAUCCCUUGUUGCGCAUUCACUUGCCUCUGUGGCUAAGUGGUUUAACCCCAACUAUGUCGUGGACACCCUCUGACGGAGUGACUUUGACAUAGUCAAAGAUCAAGGACCUAACCACAAGACAACUAUGAUGCGUCAGGUCAAAGGACUACUUUGCAUUAUUGAUAGCGAUUUUACCACUUGUAAAACAAAGGGUUAAACCAUAGAAAAUUCUUGCAAGAGAACAAGUGUUUGUAGUAUAGAAUGGCUCAAGCAGGGUCGAUCUCCUUAGGGACUGAUAUAAACAAUUUACGAGUUUUUGUGUAUUUAACUUAUUUAACUCUAAGAAUUACACUAAUUUGACGAAACUAAAUAUUACUGGAUGUGACUUAAACAAAUAUCUAAAAUGGGAAUUGGUUUAUAGGAAUAAUGAUUCAACUUAAACAAAACAAGUAAAUAAGGAAAUUCAAGAUAAAAUAAAUGAUUGAUGAAAAAUAGAUUAACAAUAUGCUAGAGUUCAACCUUUACCAACAACACUCCUACGUAUCUAUUCCAAUUGCUUAAAUAAUUGAAAACACACAUGCUUUGAAGGUUGGAUUUUCCUUGUGUAUGUUUUACUUGUGACAUUCAAGCUAAAACGCAUACCACUACAUGCAACUUAUCCAUGACAUUUGGAUUAAAUAUAAACAUGAGUGAUUCAUUAAUCUUGGUGAAAAUCCUUUUGUUAAACCAUGUAAUCCCUAAGAGCAUGAUAUUUACCUUAGGAGAGUACAAUCCUCAAUCACAAGAAGCACAACCAAUUUUAACGUGACAUUCGUUCAAAAUUGCAUCCGAUAACUUUUCUAAGCAUCCUAAUGGUGAUCAAGCAUCAAGGUAUUCAGUGAUUGAAAAUAUCAAAGCAAGCAUGUAACAACACUUAAGCAAUUGCAAGAGAAAUCUACGUAUUCAUGUUGCGGCUCAUGGCCUCACUCUAGCAUAAUAAAUUAGUUACACAUAAUUAUUUUCAUACUUAAGAAAUUAUCCAUAAAACAAAAUAACACAGAAAGAAAACACCCGUUUUAGGUUCCUCCUUCUGCUCCUGACUUCUUUUCCUCUGCCUGCUGCCCUCUCCUUCUGCGCUCUGCCCUCUCCCGUCAGUCUUUCCUAUUUUUUUCUGCUAUCCUUUUUCUUUCCCUCUGUCGCUCUCUGCCCUCUUUUCUUCCUCUCUAUAUUUUUCUGCUCUCCUUUUGUCAGUCUCCCCCUUUCUGUCCCCUUUAUUUCUUUUCUAUUAUUUUCUUUUCAGUCCUCCCUCCACUGCUUUCCUCUCUCCGUGUCUCUCCCACUCCUCUUUUAUUAUUCUUUUCUUUUCUUUUUGUCGUCCUGCACUCCUCUCUGUCCUUGUACUGCCCUCUUGUCCGUGUCUCCCACUUCCUAGUGCUCCACCUUCUAAUGCUUUUCUUUGUUUUUUUCUAUUUCCUUUUCUCCAUUUUGCUUGAAAUUGAUCAUAAAACAAAAUUAACUGCACAUUAACACAAGGUAAGGUAAAAUGACACAAUUUUAACACAAAAACAUCACAAAGACUUUAGAAAUGGAUGGUAUAAAUGCAUGAAAUAUAUGAGUGAUCAAUUAUCCUAACCAUGAGUUCUCAUGUGACAUGAGUAUGAGAACUCUGCGUUGAUCAUGUUCAGUGGACUCAUUUUCUAUUGAGCACCUACAUGCUUGUCUUGGUGUCGGUCACACCAAUGACUCGAGACCAGUCACUCUCUUUAAGAGAAGACAUAACACAUACUGAUCUUAACGGACUGUCAAUGCCCAAUUGGCAAUCCUAUGAUCAGGAACGUUUAGGAUAUGCAUACAAAAGAGAAUGGUCUCAUGAAUCUAACUUCUUUAGAUCACAUUCUCCCAAUUACAUAUUCCUUGGACUUAUUGUUUAAGCAUAUAACAUUUAUAUGAGACGGCUUUAAACAACAAUCUUUUCCCUUUAUAUUAUACUAAAUUAGUUUAACAUGUGAAAUGUCCAUAAAGUAUCAUCAUAUGAUUGGUUUUAGGGCAUAUUUCCAGCAAUCUCCCACUUGCACUAGAGCCAAUCAGCUUGGGCAUCAGUGAUGAUACCUCUUCUGAAUUCAUUUCAAAAAUGGCUGAGUAGUAGGCCUAGACAAUGGAUAUCUAUAUGUUAUCCAUAGAAGCAACCUUGAGAAUAACGACGUCACCAUUAUACAUGAUUCUCAAUCAUGUGGUUCAGCCUCUCAUUUGAGUUCGGAUCUUGAUGAGACCUUGAUUCUCGGUUUGAGCUAUCACCUCAUUAGUGUCGUAGUGUGGGUACACUAGAGACACUUUCUGGUUAGAACCAAAUGGAGAGUUCAUAAAUGAAAUUUCCCAUCCAAACAACAUUGUUGUAAGCUUCUAUAUGGCGAUAUAAUUUGCAUGCUGUAACACACUAAAGUCAUUACUUUUAACGUUUCCACCCAAAUUCCUUUUAGUCAUAAUAAAGAGGUAUCCAAAUAUCUCUUCAUUCAAAAUGAAGAGACUUCCAAUGAUAGAUACGAUAUUAGAUUCAUAAUCUAAUACUUUUACGCUUCCAUUGCGUUACUCUAAUUCUUCCUCAUUAUUGAGGAAUCUAUCCUUUAGUAUUUCUUAAAUACUUAAGGACUCACUUAACAGUUGCCAUGGUUCUGAUCCUGGGCUUGCACUGAUAUUGUCUUGUACCGAUCUUGGUACAACUCAUAUCAACGUUUUUCAUACAAUAUGAAAUACGUAAAUCACCUUUUUGUGUAUGCAUAAAGGAUUCUAUUUACACAUUAUGCUUCUUUGGGAGUCCAAGGGUACAUUCCCUUUUAGAAGAGCAACUCCCAAUCUGACUGGAAUUGUCCUUUCAUUUGAAGUUUAUCAUUCGAGAAACUUCCUACAUCUAUCAUCUAUCAAUAGGGAUUGAGAUAAUCCAAUUAUAUCUUGAAAUCUAUCAUUAUAGAUUUCCCUCUUAUGUAUAUAGACUAAGUCUCCCAUAUACAUUCUAUCGUUAUAGAAUGUUUAAAGUCAUAACUUUAACGAAGAAGAAUUCAUUUCAUUUCCAAAAUUAAUAUAUCAUAUAUAUGUUCAAAUUUAGGAAUAUGAUUAACUCCCACUAAUUUUUUAUAAACCUAGUUAACAAAAUAUUCAUUUACAUCUUUAUGAGAAAUCAAACAAUUUGAUCUUUCUCUCAUAAGACGCUUAUAGCUCCGACUAGCUUGCUAAGAUUCAUGAUGGAUAGAUCUCUACAACUUACACGUCUUGUGAUUCCUAGUCUUAGACAUAUAUUAUCAAGACUAUCUUGAUAAUGGUUUCGGAAACCCAUAUAAUGUCCAAACAUUGAAUCACCGUUUAGUUGUAGCUAGUAAUCUUCAAAUUAAUAGAAACCAAGACUAUAUCAAAGAUGGUUUCUUCCAAGUCAACCAAUCUCGUUGAUUGUAGUCACCUUAAGCUAUCAAUUGGCUAUGAAGGUUUCACUAUUUCGGGUCAAAUGGUACUAUACCAUUUCCUUGAGUAUAUGUCAUAUAUACACUCGAUGUAGUCAUAAGGAUUUUCAUUCUUAUUUCUUUUGAAUUAAGAGGUGUAACUCUAUGACAUAGUCAUAAAGUUCAAACCAUUCAACUGAGACGGUUGAUAGAUCCUUCUCGACUACCUUGGAGCUAGUCGUGUAGGAACUAGCUUGUUAUAUUUAUUGAUUAUCAUCUUGUCUCUCAAAGAACCCAUUCUUUGAGUUCUAUCUCUCGUUCAUUUGCUCUAUCUUAGGCAAAUCCUAUUGUAGGAUUACAAUGAACUACCCAACAAAGAACAUUUGUUAGUUGGUUUAUAGAAGUGAUAUCCAAAGGUUAAUUUAAGGAUAUCUGACAAGAUUGUUCUCAAACAAAUAUUGCUUAUUAGCACACAACCCCAAAUCUUAACACACUUAAGACUUGUCUUUCUUUCCAACUACAUCCUAUGGAGUCAUGAAAAUUUUGGAAGAUCUUCUAAUUGACAAUCAUAUUGUCUUAGAAGUAUAUAUCCUAUAUAUGGGUAUUUGAUGCUACUUUCCUUGAUAUCUUUCAAGGAAACUCUUCCAAAGUGUUAUCUUUCCUUGGAUCAAAUCUAAGGAGGUAAAUAUUUUAGACGUCUUACUCAUCAACUUACAUUCUUGAAUGCUUUGAAACCUUUUGCAAAGUAUUCGGACUUGUGUUUAUUCAAAAUAAAUGAUAGUCCAACCGAGAGUGAUCUUCGGUGAAUGUCAUACAACAUGAGUAGUAUUAUGUUGUGGACAAGUGCCACUAACAUCUAAGUGAAUUAACCUCAACAACUUUGUGAUUCUUUCUUCUUUUCAAAAGAAUAAAGAGUCGAACAUUUCACCUUUAUACAAUUUUAACAAGAAGGCAUUGGAUCCGGAUCUUAUGAUCCAUAACAUCCAUCUAUGACCAACUUGUAAUUUAUGUUUUAGAGGUGUCACAACUCAGUGGGAUUAGUCAUUACCUUGCAAGCUUUUGGGUUUUAAGCAUCAUCAUAUUCUAAACAGUUAACACUACCAUAUCAUCUCUACUAUUGAGACAAUCAAUUAGAUUACAAUAAUCCAAUCAUUCAUUAAUAAAGAACAAUGUUUUGUCAAACAAAACAUUCAUCCAUCUUUAAAAUUAUAGUGACAGAAUUAAGUUCCUUAUUCAAAUUGGAAUGCAAAGGCAAUCAUUCAUUUUCAAAUUUCUUUGGUAGUUCAUAUGAGGAAAUAAGUACUAUCUGCUUUCACAGAAGAUCUAUAUUUUAUUCACGUUUCAAAUGUGAAGUACUUUUUCUUCUCUUAUUAAUCUUCUACUUCUGAUUAGCCACACUUUUACAACGAUUGUAAAACAUAGUUACUAAUACAGAAUCAAGCAUUCAAGUAGAAGAACCACUGUUUUGAACUGUUCAAGAACAAUUUACAACACCUUCGAAAAGUGUGUUCUUGACACUUGCAAGACAUUUCUUGCAAAUAACCCUUCCAAUGUCCAUCCUUUCAUAAAGAAAGUUUAUUCCCUUGGAGUUAUUUUGCUUUCUUUAUUUGAUUUCUCCCUUGACUACAAUAGUCUUGGUCCCUAAACUCCCUCUAUCUCUCUUGAAACUUAUUUCAAUUGCGUUAUACAGAUCAAACGAUUUGGAGAGUGUGCGGUUAUUGUUCACUAUAUAGUUUACAAUAAACUUAGUGAACCAUUUGGAUUGGGACUCGAAGGUGAAGUCCUUGCUUAGUUUCCGUCUCUUGAAGUGGUUUAACACUUCAACACUCAAUGAUUCAAAAUCAUCAUAAGUCCAUGUUGAUGGACUAUUUUUGUCAAUCAACCAUUAUGUUCUAAAUAUGAUUACAAACUUUCAAGAGUUGUUCAAGGCAACUCUCAUUUCUUCAUACAACAAUUUGUAAGUGAAGAAUCAUGGCACAUAAAGUGUCCAUGCCCUUGUGCUUACUUCUCAAGUUCCUUGUUCAUGUAACAAAGAAACAAGCACUGGUGUUUGCGUUAACUAAGAGUUGUUCAAAGAAACUCUUAUUUCUUCAUACAACAAUUUGUAAUGGAAGAAUUAUGGUUUAAAUUCUAGUGUAGGUGCCUGAAUCAUCAAAAUCAGCAAGUUAGUAUAUAAUAAAAUCAAAGUUGCAGAAGAUGGCUUACUUGCUUGCUCCAAUACAAACUCAAUUACGGACACCACAUCUUUGAAGGUUGCAGGGAUAUGGGACUUGGCUAGAUUUGAUGUUUUGAGAGUUAUGACUUGUCCCGUGUCAUAAAAUCCAACUUCUUUGAGAAUUUUUGUCUCAAGUGUAUCUUCUUUGAUGAAUUCUAGACAUUCCCCAUCCACUUUUUGCUCUUGAUUUGUUGGAAAGGUUUCGAAGAUGCCUUUUGUUGGAAAUAUGCCCUAAAAGUCAAUCUUUGGAAGAAACCUUUCAGGACAAAUGAAUCGAUGUAUGGAUGACUCUUAUACAUCAAAUGGCAAAGAUACUAAUUAGGACUAUCUCAAUAAACGAUAUAUGUCCUAAUUAAUGAAUCCAUGGACAAUGGAUCGAUUGAAGAAGUAAUCUAAUGAUGUUAGACUAGAGAGACCUUCUUCACAUAACCAUUAUGUCCAAAAAGGUUCCUGGUCAUUGGAUUGUCGGAGGGAUACUGACAAUGCUUAGACCGGUACAUACUGAGUCCGCUUCAAAUGGAAGAAUGGAAAUUCUCAUCCCAUUUGUGUAGUGACACUAAGACAAGUAUGUAGGUGCUCAUUAAGGGAAUGAGUUCACUGAACACAAUCGAACGUGAGUACUUGCAUGGAGGUCUACUCACAUGUCAAGCAAGUAACUCUAAUGGUUGGAAUAAUGUAAGU